UGAAGUUUUGCUCAACCAGCAGGUUUUUCUGUUUAAUGUUGGUGAGUCGGGGUCUUGAGUGCCCCUUUGUUGAACUUAAGGCACUUAAAUUAGACUAGUUUGGGGAGAACUUUUUUUUUUAAAUUAGUCGGAAACUAGAAAUGACCAACAAACUCAAAUAUUGUGUGCGAAAAGCCCACCUUGAAAGCACUGGUCUCCAAGCUUUGGUUACAGCAUCAACUUCAAAUUUCAAAAGUACUGGAUGUCUGUCCCUUUGUGAUUAGUCAAAUGUACUACUGUUAAAGUCAUUCUGCAGCUUGUCCACGGUAAGUCAGAGAAUACAUCAUGUAACAUUUGCCCAGUCAUGAGUGAACAGCUGCCUCAUUUUAAAUGUCAAAUGGCAUUUGCCUAUAGGUAAUUAUAGCAUCUGGGUAUGAUUGUUUGUUACGCACUAUAUGUGCAUAGGUCUUCAUAUGCAGUGAGAUGUCAAGCACCGUGAUCAUAGAAACUGAUAACUGUGUUGACUCAUUGUAACAAACCUGACUUUGUUGAAAGUUGAUGGGGAGAUACAGUAUGAAGGUCCUUGUUGAAAUCCAUAUUUCACUCCGAGGAACAUAGCCACAAUAACUGUAGACAUACCUCCGGUUGUAUUAAUUCGAUGCUGCAUCUUUAAAAGACUAUGUUAUUGCUAAUUCCACUGUUUUGAGAAAUCUGCCUGUGUACCUGAAUAGUUUGAGAACAAAGAAAUUGGUUUCUUUGAUAAUUUAGACCAGCGGUGUCAAACUCAUUCCACGGAGGGUUGAGUGUCUGUGGGAUAAGACCUAGACAGCCAGGUUAGGGGAGUUCCUUACUAAUUAGUUCAUCAAUCAAGUACAAGGGUGGAGCAAACACCCUCAGACACUCCGUGGAAUGAGUUUGACACUUGAUUUAGACAAUUGUUUUUUUUUGGUUUUUUAAAUCACCCCUAUUUAAAAAGCUUGUCAUUACAGCCCUGUACUGUAGCCAAUAGAUAUGCACACCACCCCCUGGACCACCACUUCUUGAGAAGGACGUGGCAACCCUGUCUCGUCGCCAGACUGGAUGGGGGCAGUCAACUUCUUCCAUAUCCCUCUCUUAUGCCCCAUGCGAGUUUCUUAGUGCCAUUGGCUUCACAUCCUGACAACCUUGAAAAAGUGCCUCACGUCCAUCAUAGUUUCCAUCUAAAUCUUAACGGCUCUGGUUAUAUUGGUUUAUAUAUGUCUAGGUAUUUCUACCAUGGUUUGAAAAUUCUAAGUAUAUGAUGUAAAAUGUAUAGUUCAAUAACUCAUGUCAUAGUUGUAUUUUCUUUAUACAGAUGUAACUUGUUACUUUUCAUAAAUAUAUAAUGUAAAUAUGCAUACACUUGUAAUUUGUCAUAUCAAAUAACAUUAUCAUAAUAAAAUGGUGAG
rnacentral:lncRNA from 1 species